UACAGAGACUGCAAGCGUUAUUCGGAUUCACUGGGCGUAAAGGGCGCGCAGGCGGUUGGGUGUGUCAGAUGUGAAAUCCCGAGGCUCAACCUCGGAACUGCGUCUGAAACUACUCGACUAGAGUACUGGAGAGGGUAACGGAAUUCACGGUGUAGCAGUGAAAUGCGUAGAUAUCGUGAGGAACACCAGAGGCGAAGGCGGUUACCUGGACAGUUACUGACGCUCAGGCACGAAAGCAUGGGGAGCAAAAGGG
rnacentral:rRNA from 1 species